CGAACGGGUGAGUAACGCGUGAGGAACCUGCCUCAAAGAGGGGGACAACAGUUGGAAACGGCUGCUAAUACCGCGUAAGCCCACGGCUCGGCAUCGAGCAGAGGGAAAAGGAGCAAUCCGCUUUGAGAUGGCCUCGCGUCCGAUUAGCUAGUUGGUGAGGUAAUGGCCCACCAAGGCAACGAUCGGUAGCCGGACUGAGAGGUUGAACGGCCACAUUGGGACUGAGACACGGCCCAA
rnacentral:rRNA from 1 species